UUUGAUGAAGUGUGUUAGGCCGAAGUGAGUGAUGCAGGUCGGCUAAGACAGGUAAGUGGUUUAGGGUGGUUCUAUGGAGCUGGGGGGUGUUUGAUGAAGUGUGUUAGGCCGAAGUGAGUGAUGCAGGUCGGCUAAGACAGGUAAGUGGUUUAGGGUGGUUCUAUGGAGCUGGGGGGUGUUUGAUGAAGUGUGUUAGGCCGAAGUGAGUGAUGCAGGUCGGCUAAGACAGGUAAGUGGUUUAGGGUGGUUCUAUGGAGCUGGGGGGUGUUUGAUGAAGUGUUUGAGUCCGAAGUGAGUGAUGCAGGUCGGCUAAGACAGGUAAGUGGUUUAGGUUGGUUCUAUGGAGCUGGGGGGUGUUUGAUGAAUUGUGUUAGGCCGAAGUGAGUGAUGCAGGUCGGCUAAGACAGGUAAGUGGUUUAGGGUGGUUCUAUGGAGCUGGGGGGUGUUUGAUGAAGUGUGUUAGGCCGAAGUGAGUGAUGCAGGUCGGCUAAGACAGGUAAGUGGUUUAGGGUGGUUCUAUGGAGCUGGGGGGUGUUUGAUGAAGUGUUUGAGUCCGAAGUGAGUGAUGCAGGUCGGCUAAGACAGGUAAGUGGUUUAGGUUGGUUCUAUGGAGCUGGGGGGUGUUUGAUGAAUUGUGUUAGGCCGAAGUGAGUGAUGCAGGUCGGCUAAGACAGGUAAGUGGUUUAGGGUGGUUCUAUGGAGCUGGGGGGUGUUUGAUGAAUUGUGUUAGGCCGAAGUGAGUGAUGCAGGUCGGCUAAGACAGGUAAGUGGUUUAGGGUGGUUCUAUGGAGCUGGGGGGUGUUUGAUGAAUUGUGUUAGGCCGAAGUGAGUGAUGCAGGUCGGCUAAGACAGGUAAGUGGUUUAGGGUGGUUCUAUGCUGGUGGGGGUGUUUGAUGAAGUGUGUUAUGCCGGCUAUAGUGACAUCCCCCCGGCUAAUGAGUGACAUGUUGAAUGCAUGGG